UUGGCCCUAUAUGAAUUUCUGAACAGUACUUGCAAACUUUUGCUGGAUAAACGGACAACAACUUUGGCACCCCUGAUCUAAGAGUCUCCCAUGCUCUCAAAGUUCCAUUGGCUACAACGCUAAGAUCCCCAGGUGACAAAGACUCAGCUCCAUCAAUGCCACCGAGGCGACUGUGGGAAAUACUUGUACCGGAGUACAAAUUCUCAGUAGUUAGAUCAGCACCUGCCUGCCUGCACAGCUCAACAACUGCAGGAAUACGACCA
rnacentral:misc_RNA from 1 species